rnacentral:rRNA from 1 species
UACGAAGGGAGCUAGCGUUGUUCGGAAUCACUGGGCGUAAAGCGCACGUAGGCGGAUUUGUAAGUCAGGGGUGAAAUCCCGGGGCUCAACCCCGGAAUUGCCUUUAAGACUGCAUCGCUUGAAUCCGGGAGAGGUGAGUGGAAUUCCGAGUGUAGAGGUGAAAUUCGUAGAUAUUCGGAAGAACACCAGUGGCGAAGGCGGCUCACUGGACCGGCAUUGACGCUGAGGUGCGAAAGCGUGGGGAGCAAACAGG